CUGGAAAUGAUGCAUAAAACCAUCUGAGUGUCUGUGAAGGUGUUUGUAUUCAUACUGUCUGAUCCAG
rnacentral:snoRNA from 1 species